rnacentral:rRNA from 1 species
AUUGAACUCUGGCGGCAUGCCUAACACAUGCAAGUCGAGCGAUCGGCGGACGGGUGAUUAAUGUAUGGGUACUGCCCGAUAGAGGGGGAUUACUCCUUGAAACGGUGGCUAAUACCGCAUACUGUCGGAUCACCCAUAUGGGAUUAGCUAGUAGGUAAGGUACUGGCUUCCCUAUGCGACGAUCCCUAGCUGGUCUGAGAGGAUGUUCAGCGAAAAUGGGAAACACACACGGCACAGAAUCCGACGGAGGCAGCAGUGGGGAAUAGGGGACAAUGGGCGCAAGCCUGAUGCAGCAAUGCCGCGUUUAUGAAGAAGGCCAGAGGGCUGUAAAGGACUGUCAGGCGGGAGGCGUUACCGACAGAAGAAGCACCGGCUAACUACGUGACAGCCGCCGCGGUAAUAC